UUCACCAGUAAAUACGAUUUUUUUUUAACUACUGUCACAGAUUACGCCAUUUAUUUAUUUGGGCAUCUUUUCAAUAUAACGCAAACAAUCAAAGAGUUCAACAACAACAAAGAGGACAAUGGUAUGUUAAAAUAAACACUAAAACAAAAGUUAAUAAAUACGAGUCAAAAUAUUCGAAGUCUUCUAGAUUUAACGGUGAAAGAACAUCUGUUGUGUGCACUGGUGGUUGGAUUUUCAGAAAUGGGCGCUGGUCUGUGUAAUAAUGGCGGAAAAUAAUUUAAUCUAAUGUAUAAACUAUGUUUCUUAGUUCAUUAAGACACAAUGGAUAAAUCGCUAUUGAAUACGCAAGUGUGAUUAUAUUUGGAGCACUAAUAUUCUCUGCGUUUUGGUCGAUUAAAUUCUUUAACGCUGUUUAUACUGCAUCAAAGCGUAACACGACUUCAACGACUUACAGUGCAGUACCUGUUACUACAGCUAUACCUUUUAGAAGAGAAUACAUAGAGUAUAUUGACUAAUUAUACUCUAAGACAGAAUACCUAAUUUGUUUUGUGGAUUAUACAAUCACAAUGGACAAUUCCUACUAACUGGUGUAAUGGUGUUUGGCUUAUAUUUAAUACUUCAUCAGGCGAAAAGAAACAUGCUUUCUGAUGAUGACUAUUCAUUGGACAAUGAUGACAUUAACUGGUUUGUUAAUACCACUACUGAAAUUAUGUAGAAGAUACCAAAGAUUAGCUUUAAUACAAUAAUUAAACAAUAAGCCUACUAACUAUAUAAACAAAAUGAACAUUAUCCAAAUAAAUAUUGAUU